rnacentral:rRNA from 1 species
UACGUAGGGUGCAGGCGUUAAUCGGAAUUACUGGGCGUAAAGGGCUCGUAGGCGGCCAACUAAGUCAGACGUGAAAUCCCUCGGCUUAACCGGGGAACUGCGUCUGAUACUGGAUGGCUUGAGAUUGGGAGAGGGAUGCGGAAUUCCAGGUGUAGCGGUGAAAUGCGUAGAUAUCUGGAGGAACACCGGUGGCGAAGGCGGCAUCCUGGACCAACACUGACGCUGAGGAGCGAAAGCCAGGGGAGCAAACGGG